CCUUCAACUUCAUAGCUGGCAUCACACUAUUUAGAUUCUCUCUCCUCUUCACCCUACUGCUAUAAAUCUAUGAAGAAAUAAAAUAAAAACAAAAAAUAAAGGACAAAACUUGGGAAUUUUUUCUCCAAAAAACAAGGGGUCUCAUUACUGACCGGGAGUAUCGGGUGCAUUCAUCAGUAUGACCGAAUGUAGCCGGUAACCCAUCACGGGUUCUCGGGUUCAACCACCGUAGAGAGUUGAGAAUUGAGAAACCCCAAAAAAAAAAAAAAAAAAAAAAAUCAUGAAAUAUAUAUUUUUUUUUAUUAAAAAAAAAAAAAAAAAAAUUCAGACGCCAGCAACUUGCUCUAAAAGUAAGUAAAAGCGAUCUCCAGUUAUUUAUUUCUGCCUAUUGUGAAUUCCCCAUUUUACCCCAACUGGUCAAUUCUUUUUUUUUUUUUUUCUAACAACAGUUGAUGGCCAUUGAAACCAUAACAGAAGGUGGUUCAGAUGAAUUGGUUUGGUUAACCGUGGCGUGCCCUUAGGAAAGGCAGGGGGUGCCCCUUGGGAAGAACAAACCGGGUUUUCUUUUUGUCCAAAUUUGCUGACGCAAACAAUUAAUUUGCUUUUAAUGCGUCUUGCUUAAACCAGUACGUAAAAUGGGAGAUCGCCAUGGAUUGCUUUGGAAGCUUCUCAAUUCUGCAUGCACGGUGGUGGUGGGGGAUUCUAUAAUCUCUCUGUAAAGGGUAAUUUUGAACCCGACCCGAAAAUAUCAUUUCACAAUAUUGUAUCGUUUAAGUCUAUAUGGUUGAGUUUUAUUUAAAUUAUAAUUUUUUGUUGAAGUUGCAAUUUUUUGUUAACGAGUAAAUAUCAAAU
rnacentral:lncRNA from 1 species